CGUUGUUUACGCAGUUAUCUUCAUAAUGGCGACCGUGCUGGAGAUGUGCUUAUGCUUAUGAAAAUGAAGCGAAGAAGAAGUUAUUUCUUAUAAGAAAACGCCGGGGUUCCUCAUAGGAGGACUUUGCGUCAAAGACAGCGUCCUUCCCAGUGUUUGAAUUACAGUUUUGGUCAAUUGGUAGCCGAAAUGAUGAAGCUCAAGUCAAACCAAACCCGGACAUACGAUGGGGAUGGCUACAAGAAGCGGGCCGCCUGUCUGUGCUUCAGGAGUGAAAGUGAAGAGGAGGUGCUGUUGGUGAGUAGUAGUCGUCAUCCAGACAAGUGGAUUGUCCCUGGUGGGGGGAUGGAGCCAGAAGAGGAGCCCAAUGUAGCAGCAGCACGAGAAGUCUGUGAAGAGGCAGGUGUGAAGGGGACUUUAGGUCGCCUAGUUGGAAUAUUUGAGAACCGAGAGAGGAAACACAGAACCUACGUCUACAUUCUUGUCGUAACUGAGGUCCUGGAGGAUUGGGAGGACUCAGUGAACAUUGGGAGAAAAAGGGAUUGGUUUAAAAUAGACGAUGCAAUACAAGUGUUGCAGUGUCACAAGCCUGUGCAGGCCACAUACUUCGAGCCUCUCAAGGAUGGUUGCCUGACCAGCAACGGGACGCCCCUGGUGGCCACGAUAGGCGGAGACCUCUCCCCCACCUACAACAUCAGCCAGAGCUCCGUGUCGGGUAUCAGAUAACUAAAACACAACCCCAGGAGCUCUUGCCACCACUCUCCCUCUUACUUCUUUUUUUUUUGGUCUCAAAAUAACAUGGUUUGCUUUGCCAACUCAUUUGUGCCAGAUUUGUGGUGCAGACUUGACAAGUGUUGAGUGAAGAUUCUGAAACAAUUUGGAAAUGUCAUUUUUGACCCCUUGUUUGUUUCGUUUUAUUGAAAAUGUCAUGAAGCAUCCCUCACUCCCUCAUUCUCCUACCUUGAACACACCCUUAGCGUGGUGUUUAUUGAAUGCAAGAACUACUUUUUACUGUUGUGAUGUAAAAGUGUAUACUUAGUGCUUAAGCGCAAUGCUUUCAGUGGUCUUUUUAAUGUCUCCUCUUUUGGUUAUUGUCUGUGUAUGAUUGUGCCCAAGAGUGUGUUUGUUAAGGAUAGGAAAUGUUCUGUGCAUCUGAAUAGACAGUUGUAGGAAGUGACUUGUUUUGCAUGAUCGCUGGCUAUGUUUUGCACAUUGGGGUCACCUGAUAUAGAUUGUGCAGCAGAUAGUCUUUGGUGGUAACUAAGUUCUUUUGAAUUCUCAUUUAGCUCCGCAUUGUGGUUCUUGGUAUUAAUAUCUUGCAGGUUUCAUCAGAAAGACGAGGGCCUUUUCCCCAUUUGACCCGAUCGUCAAGUAGCCUAUACAUUUUCCCUUAGUCUGGAAGCUAGCUAGCCAUUUCAAUAUUCACUUUUAGGCAGAGAAAAAAUAUAGAAAGAAUGUCUACUCAACUAAAUAUGUAGCACAGUCCCCAUUUUGGUGAGUUAGCAUUGAGAGUUUACCCUGGUGUUUUACCCAAUAGACUGAGACCCUUUCGUUCUCCACAGUGUCUUUACCUACUUAACGGUCUAGUAGUCUGUUAGUAGUGGUUCACUACAGACACCGAAACAGUAAGCAGAUCCCCCCCCCCCCCACCGACCAAAAUGUAUCAGUUUAUAAUUUAGAAUUGCAUGGUGUGAACAACUGCAGUCUUCCUCCAUUUAUUUUGUGCCAACCAUGGACUGACAUUUGCCUUCACCCAACACACACCACCUUUUUAUCAAAUUUUCAGAUUCUCACCCCUUACUUUAACCUCUGUUUUAUAUCAGAUGUUUACAUUGCGUUCAUAACAUUUAUUUUUUCACUUAAACAAGCACUAAUAGACAUGUAUAUUUGAAUAAUGUAGAAUCUUUUCGGGGGGGGGAGCUUUUCAGUAAAAAUGUUUUACCCUUUUUAGUAUUGAAUCUGCAUCCCCAAAACAAACACCUGCUUGAUAUUGAAAGUAAUUUAAUCUAAAAUGCUGUCUUUGGCUAGAUGCAGAACAAACAAACAAACAAGCCUUGUACAGUUUGAGACCUUGUUUUUAACAUGUAAAAAUGCUUUGAAUACUAUUUUUUUUCUUUUUCUUAAACGUCUGGCAAAUCUCUAGCCAACCUGCUAUACUUGCCUUAGAUGUGGCAUGGAGCAGCUGGCUCAAUACUGUGAAACUGGAGGCCCUGUACAUAGCAUGUAAGACGUUUUAUUGUAAAUUGUUUAUUUCUGUAUAGAUCAAAGGUGAGUACAAAUGACAAAACAGUUCCUCUGAUGCAUUUGUGAGGGCUAUAUUUUGCUCAGCCAUGGCUGUAGAGUUGACUCGAUCCCUAAUCAAAGGGUGGCGUUGGCUUUGUAAGGUUUGUUGAUGAGUUGCUUUGAUACACAGUACAUGUUAAGGCUAAAGAACAAGUAAAUGUUUCUAGCUUUGUAUUGGGGGGGUGAAGAGAAGACCCCAUUUAUCAUGGAUGAUAUUAGCAGCAGAGAUGCCUCAGAUGUUCUACAAAGACCAAGAGGCUGAGGUGUAAUAAAGUGAAGUCCAUAGUUGAAUUGUUAACAUACAAAAUUGAGGGUUUCCACUGGGCUGAAUGCUGUUUCCAGACCACUACCAUAGAACUUUUAUGUCAUUAUCCUAGUCUUCUGACAGAACCAACUUUUAUAUGUAACAUCUCCCUAUUAUCUCUUCUGCCCUGUCAUUGUUUCAGUAGCUCAUCAUUCGCCCUCCAAAAUGAGCAUUAUAUACACUCAGUGGUCAGUUUAUUAGGUACACCAAUCCAUUCCCGAAAAUAGUUAGCUCUUCCAGUGUGUCACGUGGCCGUGGCUUGCUAUAAAAAGGAGGCAUCCAGUUACCGGAUGGGCUAAUGCAGCAGACGACCACACCGGGUUCCACUCCUAUCAGCUAAAAACAAGAAGCGUCUACAGUGUGCACGCAAUCACCAACAUCACCUGGUCAAAUGAAUCCCAGUUCCUGUUGAGUCAUGCUGAUGGCAGUCAGGAUUUUACAUAAGCAGCAUGGGGCAAUGGUGUGGGGGAUGUUUUCCUUGCACACGUGAGGUCCCUUGAUACCAAUUGAGCAACGUUUCCAUGCACUGAAGAAUUCAGGUUCUGGAGGCAAAGGGGUUCCGAUCCGGUACUAGAUGGGUGCACCUAAUAACUGGCAACCGAGUGUAUGUUAUCCCCAAUCCCAGACUCAAGGUCUAUUCUAUAAUGUAAGGGUUGAACUAAAUUGGUGAGUGGAUUACUGAUAUCAAUAGAUAGAAAUUCUACUUUGAACCAUUUAUUGCUUUUUAUAAACUAGGUGGUUCAAGCCCUGAAUGCGGAUUGGCUGACAGCUGUGUUAUACCAGAUUGUAUUCCACAGGACGAUUUCACACAGCACGCAGUGAAAGCCGGAAGGAGUGGAUGUAGGCAUUUUAAAAAGAU